UACGAAGGGUGCAAGCGUUACUCGGAAUUACUGGGCGUAAAGCGUGCGUAGGUGGUUCGUUAAGUCUGUCGUGAAAGCCCCGGGCUCAACCUGGGAAUGGCGAUGGAUACUGGCGGGCUAGAGUGCGGUAGAGGGUGGUGGAAUUCCCGGUGUAGCAGUGAAAUGCGUAGAGAUGUGGAGGAACACCGAUGGCGAAGGCAGCCCCCUGGGUCAAGAUUGACGCUCAUGCACGAAAGCGUGGGGAGCAAACAGG
rnacentral:rRNA from 1 species